UACGAACUGCGCAAACGUUAUUCGGAAUCACUGGGCUUACAGGGUGCGUAGGCGGCCUUUCAGGUCAGGUGUGAAAUCCCACAGCUCAACUGUGGAACUGCAUUUGAAACCGAUUGGCUAGAGUGAGCUAGAGGUACACGGAACUUCCGGUGGAGCGGUGAUAUGUGUUGAUAUCGGAAGGAACACCAGAGGCGAAAGCGGUGUACUGGAGCUUGUCUGACGCUGAGGCACGAAAGCCAGGGGAGCGAACGGG
rnacentral:rRNA from 1 species